GACGAACGCUGGCGGCGUGCCUAACACAUGCAAGUCGAACGGAAAGGCCCUGCUUUUGCGGGGUGCUCGAGUGGCGAACGGGUGUGAAACACGUGAGUAUCCUGCGCUUGACUGUGGGAUAUCUUCAGGAAACUGGGGCUAAUACCGGAUAGGAGCUCCUGCUGCAUGGUGGGGGUUGGAAAGUUUCGGCGGUUGGGGCUGGACUGGCGGCUAACCAGCUUGUUGGUGGGGUAGUGGCUUACCAAGGCUUUGACGGGUAGGCGGCCUGAGAGGGGGGACGGCGACAUUGGGACUGAGGUACGGCCCAGACGCGUACGGGAGGCAGCAGUGGGGAGUAUUGCACAGUGGGCGGGAGCCUGAUGCAGCGGCGCCGCGUGCGGGAUGACGGCCUUCGGGUUGUAAACCGCUUUCGGCUGUGACGAAGCGUGAGUGACGGUAAUGGGUAAAGAAGCACCGGCUAACUACGUG
rnacentral:rRNA from 1 species